AAUACGUAAGAUGUUCAAUCGGAUUACUCGAGUUUUUUUCAUACUAAGUUUUCUAUAUACUAGUAUUUAUACUGGCCAUGUUCCCACAAUGCAUCACGGCCGUCGUAGAGUGGAUGGGAAGAUUGGAUAUUGCAAGCAACGUUCCAUGUGCUGGGAAAGUGACGUUGAGCUAAAUCACUCCAACAGUUUCGGGUGCUCAAGUAUUAAACGAUCAGAUCUGGUAUGCUGUCCACGUCGCACACUAAUAGAAAUUUUCUCGACUCAAUUGCCUGUUGAAAACUCCUGCUGCCCCCUCCGGGUGUUUGUGGCAUUACCCCUUUAAUGAAUCGCAUUUUCCAAGGCGAACGGGCGGACAUUCAGAAUUUGGCUGGACGGCUUUGCUGUUUUAUUCGAACGAUGCCCGAUGUGCGGUAGAUCUCUCAUCAAUAAUCGAUGGAUAUUGACGGCGGCUCAUUGUGUGAUCCGUCAGUAUAAAAUUCGAGCGCGUCUGGGUGAGUGACUGCCAAGAGUAUAAGAAUGGUAACAGGGUCUGUGCUCCAUCGCACAUAGACAUCAAUGUUGACCUCAUUAAGCCACAUGAGCAAUAUCGCAGCACCUUCGGCCAUUUCAACGACAUUGCAUUACUGCUUCCUAGCCAUUCCGUGAACUAUACAGACUUUGUGAUACCCAUAUGCCUGCCGCCAGCAAAAGAGAAGUAUGAGAAUGCCUAUUCUGGA
rnacentral:misc_RNA from 1 species